rnacentral:ncRNA from 1 species
CGAUAAAGGCAAACCUAUUGAAAGGUAGGGACGCAAAACUACAGGGCCUGUAAAAUGGCAGCCAGUUUCCGA